rnacentral:rRNA from 1 species
AGAGUUUGAUCCUGGCUCAGGAUGAACGCUGGCGGCGUGCUUAACACAUGCAAGUCGAACGAUGAAGCCCAGCUUGCUGGGUGGAUUAGUGGCGAACGGGUGAGUAACACGUGAGUAACCUGCCCUUGACUCUGGGAUAAGCCUGGGAAACUGGGUCUAAUACCGGAUAGGAACGUCCACCGCAUGGUGGUUGUUGGAAAGAUUUAUCGGUCAUGGAUGGACUCGCGGCCUAUCAGCUUGUUGGUGAGGUAAUGGCUCACCAAGGCGACGACGGGUAGCCGGCCUGAGAGGGUGACCGGCCACACUGGGACUGAGACACGGCCCAGACUCCUACGGGAGGCAGCAGUGGGGAAUAUUGCACAAUGGGCGAAAGCCUGAUGCAGCGACGCCGCGUGAGGGAUGACGGGCUUCGGGUUGUAAACCUCUUUCAGUAGGGAAGAAGCGAAAGUGACGGUACCUGCAGAAGAAGCACCGGCUAACUACGUGCCAGCAGCCGCGGUAAU